AGUCGAGCGAACAGAUAAGGAGCUUGCUCCUUUGACGUUAGCGGCGGACGGGUGAGUAACACGUGGGUAACCUACCUAUAAGACUGGGAUAACUUCGGGAAACCGGAGCUAAUACCGGAUAACAUUUGGAACCGCAUGGUUCUAAAGUGAAAGAUGGUUUUGCUAUCACUUAUAGAUGGACCCGCGCCGUAUUAGCUAGUUGGUAAGGUAACGGCUUACCAAGGCGACGAUACGUAGCCGACCUGAGAGGGUGAUCGGCCACACUGGAACUGAGACACGGUCCAGACUCCUACGGGAGGCAGCAGUAGGGAAUCUUCCGCAAUGGGCGAAAGCCUGACGGAGCAACGCCGCGUGAGUGAUGAAGGGUUUCGGCUCGUAAAACUCUGUUAUUAGGGAAGAACAAACGUGUAAGUAACUGUGCACGUCUUGACGGUACCUAAUCAGAAAGCCACGGCUAACUACGUGCCAGCAGCCGCGGUAAUACGUAGGUGGCAAGCGUUAUCCGGAAUUAUUGGGCGUAAAGCGCGCGUAGGCGGUUUCUUAAGUCUGAUGUGAAAGCCCACGGCUCAACCGUGGAGGGUCAUUGGAAACUGGGAAACUUGAGUGCAGAAGAGGAAAGUGGAAUUCCAUGUGUAGCGGUGAAAUGCGCAGAGAUAUGGAGGAACACCAGUGGCGAAGGCGACUUUCUGGUCUGUAACUGACGCUGAUGUGCGAAAGCGUGGGGAUCAAACAGGAUUAGAUACCCUGGUAGUCCACGCCGUAAACGAUGAGUGCUAAGUGUUAGGGGGGUUUCCGCCCCUUAGUGCUGCAGCUAACGCAUUAAGCACUCCGCCUGGGGGAGUACGACCGCAAGGUUGAAACUCAAAGGAAUUGACGGGGACCCGCACAAGCGGUGGAGCAUGUGGUUUAAUUCGAAGCAACGCGAAGAACCUUACCAAAUCUUGACAUCCUUUGAAAACUCUAGAGAUAGAGCCUUCCCCUUCGGGGGACAAAGUGACAGGUGGUGCAUGGUUGUCGUCAGCUCGUGUCGUGAGAUGUUGGGUUAAGUCCCGCAACGAGCGCAACCCUUAAGCUUAGUUGCCAUCAUUAAGUUGGGCACUCUAGGUUGACUGCCGGUGACAAACCGGAGGAAGGUGGGGAUGACGUCAAAUCAUCAUGCCCCUUAUGAUUUGGGCUACACACGUGCUACAAUGGACAAUACAAAGGGCAGCUAAACCGCGAGGUCAUGCAAAUCCCAUAAAGUUGUUCUCAGUUCGGAUUGUAGUCUGCAACUCGACUACAUGAAGCUGGAAUCGCUAGUAAUCGUAGAUCAGCAUGCUACGGUGAAUACGUUCCCGGGUCUUGUACACACCGCCCGUCACACCACGAGAGUUUGUAACACCCGAAGCCGGUGGAGUAACCA
rnacentral:rRNA from 1 species